GCCGGGUGGAAUGUGGUAACAAGCAAGUACGGGGGGCGGUUGUGUCAUUGUUUCACUUUUGAUUUGCCAGUGAUAGACCGCGAGGGUAACUUUAACCGUGCAGAGACGAAGAGGAGGCGACACUUUGAUAUCAAGUUCAAAGAGAACGUGCGCUGCAGAACACUGGGGAGCAAUAGGGGUUGUAUGAACUAGUCGACUUCACUAUAGUGACUUUUUAUGCCUGUCAUCGACUAGUUGCUGUCACGUGAUAAUGACCGGCAAGAUGCAGCCCUCGGAAAAGACAGCAGCCUGCUAUCAGCAGGUGAUAAGCUCCUGCGCUCGGGGGGGGCAACGCGCUGUGCCAGAGCGUCAGUACUGACACGCGAUCGUGUGUUUCGCUGCUGUGGAGCGGGGCACAUCACCUUGUCCUCUGACGCACUGAUCACUGAUGCGGCUGGCAAGCAGCGAGCACUCCGCUGUUUUUGCGGUCGGUAGAUCUUUUAGAACUGCAGUUCAAAGGUAACUCAUAAGGUCAGUGGCGGAGCUUGAUAUGUGCAACAUGUGCGGCCGAACAGGGCGGCAGUCUGCAGGGGGCGGCAUUUAAUUUCCUUUUUUUUUUUUUUUCUAAAAAAAAUUUUUUUUAGCAUCAACCAAUACAUAAACAAAACAUAGAAAUCGCAUGUUCUUAAUAAUAAUAGUGAUGAUAAUAAUAAUAUUUCUGUAAUAAAAGCACAACAAAGUGUAACCCAUAUCAACUACUCCCUGUCACAUGACCCACGUCAGCUGAUGUGAGGUCCCUCUCCUGAUUGGCUCCUUCCAC
rnacentral:lncRNA from 1 species